AUUGCGAGAGGAACGAAUUAGGUGCACUGUCAAGAUUCACGAGUUGAUCAUCCCUUGUAAGAAAUAUCGAAAUAACAUGGUUGCUGAAUGAAAUGGUUCUAAAAGGAGAAGUGUAGUUAUGCCACUGCUUUUAGUUUACUUUUCAAGGAGAAUGUGGUAGCGUCCUUAGGGAAACUCCCUAUUUGUGCUUCAAAUAUACUAGGCGAAAAUGGCGCAGAUUUUGUGGCCGAUGACACAAUGCCGGAUGAGGAUCACAAAGAACUCACCGACCGCCUUCCCGCGGCAAAGAACAGUUGGGACUUCUGUCUUGCUAAAACAGAAGAAGAGUGUAAACCCCAAGAGCUUUUCUAAGUUCAGGGUGUAUGCUCUGAAGUCCGAGAACAAUACUAUUGCAGGCUCGAGAGUCUUCUCAACAUGGACGUCACGCCCUACACCGAUAAGAUAAUUGCAGAAUAUGUUCGGUAUGUUUUGAUGCCUAAAAACUUUGAGGGUAGUGCACGUAAAGAUGAACAACACCAGAACUAUUAUGUACCGAGAUUAUAAGUUUCCUUUUUUUCUUCAAUCUACCAUCAUGAUAAGUACGUCACAUGUUUUAUGCACAUUCAACUAGUGACACCUUUUUUCCUUUUUCAAUUUCUGCAUUAGGAUAUCUUGUUUCA